rnacentral:rRNA from 1 species
UAACCUGCCCAAGAGACUGGGAUAACACCUGGAAACAGAUGCUAAUACCGGAUAACAACACUAGACGCAUGUCUAGAGUUUAAAAGAUGGUUCUGCUAUCACUCUUGGAUGGACCUGCGGUGCAUUAGCUAGUUGGUAAGGCAACGGCUUACCAAGGCAAUGAUGCAUAGCCGAGUUGAGAGACUGAUCGGCCACAUUGGGACUGAGACACGGCCCAAACUCCUACGGGAGGCAGCAGUU